ensembl:lincRNA
GUUGCUAUUUUCAUGAACUUUUGUUAACAGCCUGAUGAGCUUGGGAAUGAUCAUUGCCACCUGAAAUGAAUGAGCUGUGCAAAUGGAAGAUAUUCUCAGGGCUCAUGACCACACCUGAAGCAGGUGCUGUUCAUGCAGGGACUUGGACUCUGAAUGAGAUGAAGAGCCAUUAGCCUAUGAGCAGAGGAGCAGCAUAACAGGACUUCCGUUUUCAAGACACCUCUUUGGCUGUGAUGUUAGGAAUGAGGUAGAAACAGGGAGACCAGUUAGAAGGUUGUCGCCAUAAUCAAGGUACCAGCAUGGGAGGGGUGAAAAGCAAUCAGCCUCCGGAUAUACUUUAAAGGUAAAGUUGACAGGAUUUGAUCCUCAAAUUCAAUUUAACUAAGCAUGCUCCGUCCAUGCAGAAAUGACUGCUCUACAGACAUUUUUUAAUAACCCUUUUUAACAGUUUUUUAUUUUCAUGGAAAUAAUCUUAAAAAUGAUGGAUAGAAUAAUGUAAUAUACUAUGUAUUAUAUAAUAUAAAAUAUAG